UUAGAGUUUGAUCCUGGCUCAGGAUGACCUUUGGCGGCGUGCUUAAUACAUGCAAGUCGAACGGACAAAGUCAGAAAGCUUGCUUUCUGAUCGAGUUAGUGGCGAACGGGUGAGUAAUACGUAGGCAACCUACCCUAAAGUGGGGGAUAGCAGUUGGAAACGACUAUUAAUACCGCAUAGGUAAUCGGAUGGCAUCAUCUGAUUAUUAAAGACGCGUUUGCGUCGCUGUGGGAUGGGCUUACGCUGUAUUAGCUUGUUGGUGAGGUAACGGCCCACCAAGGCGAUGAUACAUAGCCGGUCUGAGAGGAUGAACGGCCACAUUGGGACUGAGACACGGCCCAGACUCCUACGGGAGGCAGCAGUAAGGAAUUUUCGGCAAUGGGGGAAACCUUGACCGAGCAACGCCGCGUGAGUGAUGAAGGUCUUCGGAUCGUAAAGCUCUGUGGUAAAGGAAGAAUGCUAAGAUUAGGAAAUGAUUCUUAGUUGACGGUACUUUACUAGAAAGUCACGGCUUACUACGUGCCCAGCAGCCGCGGUAAUACGGAGGAUGCAAGCGUUAUCCGGAUUUAUUGGGUUUAAAGGGUGCGUAGGCGGACGACUAAGUCAGCGGUGAAAUAUCCCGGCUCAACCGGGAGGCUGCCGUUGAUACUGGUCGCCUUGAGUACGAACGGCGCCGGCGGAAUAUGUAAUGUAGCGGUGAAAUGCGUAGAUAUUACAUAGAACACCGAUCGCGAAGGCAGCUGGCGGGGACGUCACUGACGCUGAGGCACGAAGGCGUGGGGAUCAAACAGGAUUAGAUACCCUGGUAGUCCACGCAGUAAACGAUGAUAACUUGUUGUCGGCGAUAGACAGUCGGUGACAAAGCGAAAGCGAUAAGUUAUCCACCUGGGGAGUACGAUCGCAAGGUUGAAACUCAAAGGAAUUGACGGGGGCCCGCACAAGCGGAGGAGCAUGUGGUUUAAUUCGAUGAUACGCGAGGAACCUUACCUAGACUCAAAUGUUGAGCGACCGACCCAGAAAUGGGUCUUUCCUUCGGGACGCUUAGCAAGGUGCUGCAUGGUUGUCGUCAGCUCGUGCCGUGAGGUGUCAGGUUAAGUCCUAUAACGAGCGCAACCCCUACGUCCAGUUGCCAGCGGGUAGAGCCGGGGACUCUGGACGGACUGCCGGCGCAAGCCGAGAGGAAGGUGGGGAUGACGUCAAAUCAGCACGGCCCUUACGUCUAGGGCGACACACGUGCUACAAUGGCCGGUACAGAGGGCAGCUACGCCGCGAGGCGAUGCGAAUCUCGAAAGCCGGUCUCAGUUCGGAUCGGAGUCUGCAACCCGACUCCGUGAAGUUGGAUUCGCUAGUAAUCGCGCAUCAGCCAUGGCGCGGUGAAUACGUUCCCGGGCCUUGCACACACCGCCCGUCAAG
rnacentral:rRNA from 1 species